GGCCCACCAAGGCGACGAUCAGUAGGGGUUCUGAGAGGAAGGUCCCCCACAUUGGAACUGAGACACGGUCCAAACUCCUACGGGAGGCAGCAGUGAGGAAUAUUGGUCAAUGGGCGAGAGCCUGAACCAGCCAAGUAGCGUGCAGGAUGACGGCCCUAUGGGUUGUAAACUGCUUUUAUAAGGGAAUAAAGUGAGUCUCGUGAGACUUUUUGCAUGUACCUUAUGAAUAAGGACCGGCUAAUUCCGUGCCAGCAGCCGCGGUAAUACGGAAGGUCCGGGCGUUAUCCGGAUUUAUUGGGUUUAAAGGGAGCGUAGGCCGGAGAUUAAGCGUGUUGUGAAAUGUAGACGCUCAACGUCUGCACUGCAGCGCGAACUGGUUUCCUUGAGUACGCACAAAGUGGGCGGAAUUCGUGGUGUAGCGGUGAAAUGCUUAGAUAUCACGAAGAACUCCGAUUGCGAAGGCAGCUCACUGGAGCGCAACUGACGCUGAAGCUCGAAAGUGCGGGUAUCGAACAGGAUUAGAUACCCUGGUAGUCCGCACGGUAAACGAUGGAUGCCCGCUGUUGGUCUGAAUAGGUCAGCGGCCAAGCGAAAGCAUUAAGCAUCCCACCUGGGGAGUACGCCGGCAACGGUGAAACUCAAAGGAAUUGACGGGGGCCCGCACAAGCGGA
rnacentral:rRNA from 1 species